rnacentral:rRNA from 1 species
AGUGAACGCUGGCGGUAGGCCUAACACAUGCAAGUCGAACGGCAGCACAGUAAGAGCUUGCUCUUACGGGUGGCGAGUGGCGGACGGGUGAGGAAUACAUCGGAAUCUACUUUUUCGUGGGGGAUAACGUAGGGAAACUUACGCUAAUACCGCAUACGACCUACGGGUGAAAGCAGGGGAUCUUCGGACCUUGCGCGAUUGAAUGAGCCGAUGUCGGAUUAGCUAGUUGGCGGGGUAAAGGCCCACCAAGGCGACGAUCCGUAGCUGGUCUGAGAGGAUGAUCAGCCACACUGGAACUGAGACACGGUCCAGACUCCUACGGGAGGCAGCAGUGGGGAAUAUUGGACAAUGGGCGCAAACCUGCUCCAGCCAUACCGCGUGGGUGAAGAAGGCCUUCGGGUUGUAAAGCCCUUUUGUUGGGAAAGAAAAGCAGCAGGUUAAUACCCCGCUGUUCUGACGGUACCCAAAGAAUAAGCACCGGCUAACUUCGUG